rnacentral:lncRNA from 1 species
CCGCGGCGGCCUCCCGGAGCCCGGCGCGGUGCCGCCGGGGCCGGGGGAGUGACUUGCGCUCCCUCCGCCUCCCGCGCCUUCAGCCCUCCUCCGGGUAGACGGAGAGGAGGAGGAGGAGGAGGAGGGCGAGUGGUGGGAGGGUCUCCAUUGAAAUAAACAAGCAGGCAGUUAUUAAAACGGGAACAUGGCGGCCGCAGCCCCAGCGUCGGCUUCAUCUCACAAAGCGAAGCACACUUGAGAUGUAUCUGAGCACUGAAGCCCAGCACGCACACAACCUGUAGGACUCUGCCCGCCUCACUGAGGCUUGGUGGACCGUUCCAAGUGGCAUGAUUCAGAGGAUUUGUUUGUCAGCAACGGAUCAAAUGGUUGUCCACUAAAUACCCUAGCAAGUAUGAAUGCGGCAUGGACCUAUGGGCUUUGUGUCUACUUGAAGAGCUACUGCACCAGCUCUCAGCAUUCAGUAUUUUCAAGACCACCAUGCACUUCUAACACAGACUUACAAGGAAAGUAUUCUAAGUAGGACCAUGUGCUGACCAUGGCCUUUUGGACCACCAUUUGGAAACUGCUGCUUUUUAAUAUUUAUUUAUUAGUCUAUAGCAGAACUCUUUUGGCCACAGCAUGAGCAUGCAUUUUAACAGUGUUAGUACUAUAAAAAUCUUAACACUGACUGUCUUGAUUUUUUUCUUAGAUAAAUCUUUCACUAUUAUUGUUCUACUUUUUUCAUAGUUGAUUUGCUGUAUUGGAAAAUGUAAGUUAUCACACUUGAAUAACUGUACAUGUGGAAUCAUUUAAAAAAUAAAAAAUACAUUUCCACAUAUGGACUUUUCA